rnacentral:rRNA from 1 species
GACGAACGCUGGCGGCGUGCUUAACACAUGCAAGUCGAACGGUAAGGCCCUUCGGGGUACACGAGUGGCGAACGGGUGAGUAACACGUGGGUGAUCUGCCCUGCACUUCGGGAUAAGCCUGGGAAACUGGGUCUAAUACCGGAUAGGACCACUGCCUGCAUGGGUGGUGGUGGAAAGCUUUUGCGGUGUGGGAUGGGCCCGCGGCCUAUCAGCUUGUUGGUGGGGUGAUGGCCUACCAAGGCGACGACGGGUAGUCGGCCUGAGAGGGUGACCGGCCACACUGGGACUGAGAUACGGCCCAGACUCCUACGGGAGGCAGCAGUGGGGAAUAUUGCACAAUGGGCGCAAGCCUGAUGCAGCGACGCCGCGUGAGGGAUGACGGCCUUCGGGUUGUAAACCUCUUUCAGCACCGACGAAGCGCAAGUGACGGUAGGUGCGGAAGAAGGACCGGCCAACUACGUGCCAGCCGCCGCAGUAA